AUGGCAGAAGCAACAACAAUCAAAGGAGCACUAGCCAGAGGGGAAGAGAAAACCGGCCAGAAGCCAUCUGAAGCCAGAGCGAUAAGGCUGUAUGCCCAGAUUCCCCCUGUAGAGAAGAUGGACGCAUCAUUGUCCACACUUUCUAACUGUGAGAAGCUUUCACUGACUACAAACUGCAUUGAAAAAACUGCAAACCUGAAUGACUUAAAAACCUUAAGAAUAUUGUCUUUAGGAAGAAACAACACAAACAACUUAAAUGAACUGGAAGUAGUAGGGGACACAUUAGAAGAACUGUGGAUCCCCUACAAUUUUACUGAGAAGUUGAAAGGGACCCAUGUAAUGAAGAAACUGAAGAUUCUCUACAUGUCUAAUAACCUGGUGAAAGAUGGCUGAAUUUGUGAAGCUGGCAGAACUGCCAUGCCUAGAAGACCUGGUGUUUGUAGGCAAUCUCUUGGAAGAGAAACAUUCUGCUGAGAACUGGAUUGAAGAGGCAACCAAGACAAUGCCCAAACUGAAAAAGCUAGAUGGUACCCCAGUAGUUAAAGAAGAUGAGGAAGAAGAUAACUAA
rnacentral:lncRNA from 1 species